rnacentral:miRNA from 15 species
UCCAGGUCUGGUGUGAUCUUGU